UGGUGGGAUACUACCCUGGCUGUAUGACCAUUCUAACCCGCCACGCUUAGCGCGUGGGGAGACAGUGUCAGGUGGGCAGUUUGACUGGGGCGGUCGCCUCCUAAAGAGUAACGGAGGCGCCCAAAGGUUCCCUCAGAAUGGAUGGAAAUCAUUCGCAGAGUGUAAAGGCACAAGGGAGCUUGACUGCGAGACUGACAAGUCGAGCAGGGACGAAAGUCGGGCUUAGGGAUCCGGUGGUUCCGCAUGGAAGGGCCA
rnacentral:rRNA from 1 species